UGGCGGACGGGUGGGUAAUGUCUGGGAAACUGCCUGAUGAGGGGGAGUAACUACUGGAAACGGUAGCUAAUACCGCAUAACGUCGCAAGACCAAAGAGGGGGACCUUCGGGCCUCUUGCCAUCGGAUGUGCCCAGAUGGGAUUAGCUAGUAGGUGGGGUAACGGCUCACCUAGGCGACGAUCCCUAGCUGGUCUGAGAGGAUGACCAGCCACACUGGAACUGAGACACGGUCCAG
rnacentral:rRNA from 1 species